GAGACCGUGCAGCUGCUCCCGACAGCCUACAAGACAAAGGCUCAGUGGACAGGAGGACAGCAGGGCCCCCGGGCACUGUGGAAGCACAGACUCUGCAAAUUCCAGUGUGGCAGGUGAGCCACUGAGGGUCCUGGAAGCUGCAGGCUACAAAUACACAGCUGGUUGUUUGUCCAGGAGCCCCAGUGGGGUCUGCAUCUGUCUGGGUCCCAUCCCUGGAAGAACGGAGACCUUCAUGGGGGAGGCCUGUGGUUAUUUUUAGGUUGUUCUUGCCCAGUUGACUUACAGCCACUGACCUCAAGUGUCACAGCCUGCAGCUCAGCUUUGCGGUUGCCCUCUGGAAGGUUUCCAGUCUCAAUGUUUCCUUGAACCUGGGGUGCUCCAAACUGUCUGCGGUCUUCUUACAGGGCUGAAGCAAGGUUACAAUCUGCAGAAUAAAAGACAGCCUUGUUCCCAAUCAAAACCCUCAGUGUUCUACCUCUUUGUGUGCGUUCGCUGCAUCAUGCGCUUUAAAAAAUCCUAUUAGUGGCUGUGUGACAUCAUCUAUUUAUAAGGACUCUGCUGCUCCUUGAUACCCAGACUUUUCCCGGAACUGUUCCUGUCCCUGUCACCCUCCCACUGGUUCUCAGUAUCUACCACAGCAGUGAACUAACAAUCGUUCGGCUGCUCUCCUUCCCCGAGGCUUUGAUGUGCUGAUCCAUUGUCCUUCCCAGGCCAAGACUGCCUGGUUCUGGUCUGUUUUCAGCCUGGAGGAUGGGCCAUUUCAGAUAUUCUUCUUUAUUUGGCACUCUUGACCUGCGCCUGGAUCUUUGCAAACGCCAGGCCCUGGAGGAGGGCUGUGGACUGGGCCAAGGCCAGCUGUAGAGGUCGCUGUCACCAGGAAGCUGCACAGACAACGGGGGCUACCUCACCUCCAUAUCACAAGCCCUUCCCAAGUUGGCCGAUGGUGCAGGGAACUCCUGCAGCCCAAAGUGGGUCUGUGGACACUAUGCCCAAACCCUGCACCAUUCAGGGCUCUGGCAGCAGGGUAGGGAGGUCAGGGUAGCCAAUGU
rnacentral:lncRNA from 1 species